GGAUAUGAUGAUUGUUGUUUGACACCCAGUCUUACUUCCAUCUUCUUAGUGGAAGAUGAAGAGAUCUAUCAACUUAUAAUCUGAUCC
rfam:Gossypium raimondii chromosome 6, whole genome shotgun sequence.